UUUAACUGAAGAGUUUGAUCAUGGCUCAGAUUGAACGCUGGCGGCAGGCUUAACACAUGCAAGUCGAGCGGGGGAAGGUAGCUUGC
rnacentral:rRNA from 1 species